GCCGGGUGCGGUGGCGCACACCUGUAAUCCAGGCAGUUUAGGAGGCUGAGACAGGAGGAUUGUGAGUUCAAAGCCAGCCUCAGCAACGGUGAGGCGCUAUGCAACUCAGUGAGACCCUGUCUCUA
rnacentral:sRNA from 1 species